rnacentral:rRNA from 1 species
UACGAAGGGUGCAAACGUUGCUCGGAAUUAUUGGGCGUAAAGGGCGCGUAGGCGGUUUUUUAAGUCGGAUGUGCAAUCCCCAGGCUCAACCUGGGAACUGCAUCCGAGACUGGAAGGCUAGAGUACUGGAGAGGGUGGUGGAAUUCCUCGUGUAGCGGUGAAAUGCGCAGAGAUGAGGAGGAACACCAGUGGCGAAGGCGGCCACCUGGACAGUAACUGACGCUGAGGCGCGAAGGCGUGGGGAGCGAACGGG